UAAAGCUCAGCCGGUAGAGCAUGAGGCUCUUAAUGUCACGGUCGUGGGUUCGAGCCCCAUGCUGGGCAAAA